rnacentral:lncRNA from 1 species
UAGCCAAACAGGCUUUAAUGUUCGUUAAGGUUAACGAGCAUAACGAGCCGAGCUCUUAACGAGCCGAGUUCUUAAUGAGUGAGCUCUUAACGAGUUGAGCAUGCUUGUUAGCCAGGAAGGACCUUCGACAAAGGCUUUGCCGGAGGCCAAAAAAGAGGCUGCCGGCAAAAAAAAAGGCACUGACAGCACGCGUUAAGGAAGACGGAUGGCCACGUGAAGACAGCUUUGCCGGAGGCUAUACUAAACCAUCGGCAAAGAAAAUCAGAGAAAUAAAAAACAACAAAAAUCCCAGGCCACCCGCCGCUGCACCUCGCCGG